GAUGGCUCAGGUGCUGACCCAGCACGAGGAGCCCAAGGACCUCCUGCACCUCCUGUGUUUGCAGCCUGGAUGUGGGGAAUUCCCUCACACUUCCUGCUCUUCCCACAGAGGGGAGGAAAGCUUCUUGCAAGAGCCAGGCUGUGGAACCAGCACUGAAGGCACUGGAAGUGCUGCAGAUGCCCCAUCACAGACCCAACACUCCUCUCACGUUGAAUCCUGAGCUCUCCCAUGGCAGGUGGACAUGAGGGGAACAAGAAAGGCAGCUCCAUGUUCCUGAAGCAGGCACUUCCCCUGGUUUCUGUUCCUGCAGCCUGCUGGGAGGAGAAGGACUCAGUCAGCACUUCCAGGCUUUUCUGCAGGCCUGCUCCAGCCAACACCAUUACCAGCUGGACAAACACCAAGAAAAAUCCUAAGGAAUGUCAACACAACACUGCCAACAUGGCUGAUUUCCCCGUUCCCAGCUUGUGUGAACUUCCAUCUGUCCCCACAGAGGGAAAGGUCCUCCCUGGGGACAGGGGUGCCUCCUGUGACCCUGCCAACAGAGGCAGCACUCUGACCAGAGGAUGUUCCUGAGCUCCAGCACCAUUUCCUGGUGACAGCGAAGGUGAGAAGGUUUUGGCAGCCACGGAGUGCUCCUGUUACAGCCUUGGUUUAGACAAAGUGGAAAUGCUCCAGGGCAAUGAGCUGGGAAUGAGGGACUGCACCUGACCCUGAGUGGAGCUGCAGUGAGAGCAGCACUGAAACACCUCAGAGCAGGGUUUGGGAGGGGGGAGCUGGUCCCCAGCCCCACACCAGUUUCAGCCCAAGGGGAACAGGGCUGGGACAUGUGGGGCAGGUCCUGGUGUGUCCCUGGCAGCCUGUCCCCUUUAUCAUUCCCCUGGAAUGCCACAGGGAUGGCAGUGCUGAAGGAGAUAGGAGAGGGUCCCCUGGGUGGGAGAGCAUCACCCCAGCACUGGGCAUCCCUUCCCUCCCACAUCUGCCUGGCUCUGGCAGCCAGGGAAUGCCAAGAGCCCGGGGCAGACUGUGGGAAGGAGGUCCCAAGGUCUCAUGCCACCCCCACUGCCAGCC